rnacentral:tRNA from 2 species
GGAGAGGUGACAGAGUGGUCGAUUGUGCUUGACUCGAAAUCAAGUGUACCUUCGGGUACCGGGGGUUCGAAUCCCUCCCUCUCCG